UACAGAGGUCCCAAGCGUUGUUCGGAUUCACUGGGCGUAAAGGGUGCGCAGGUGGUUUGGCAAGUUUGACGUGAAAGCCCCGGGCUUAACCCGGGAAUGGCGUUGAAAACUGCUUGAACUGGAGGGUUGGAGGGGGGACUGGAAUUCUUGGUGUAGCAGUGAAAUGCGCAGAUAUCGGGAAGAACACCCGUGGCGAAGGCGGCUCUCUGGGACGGUACUGACGCUGAGACGCGAAAGCGUGGGGAGCGAACAGG
rnacentral:rRNA from 1 species